rnacentral:tRNA from 1 species
AUUUAAAUAGUUUAAUUAAAAAUGCUGAUUUGUGAAUUCAGUGAUAUAUUUAGUAUUUUAGAUA